UACGUAGGGUGCAAGCGUUGUCCGGAAUUAUUGGGCGUAAAGAGCUCGUAGGCGGUUUGUCGCGUCUGCUGUGAAAGCCCGAGGCUCAACCUCGGAACUGCCUUCGAUACUGCGGGUCUCGAGUCCGGGAGAGGUGAGUGGAAUUCCUAGUGUAGAGGUGAAAUUCGUAGAUAUUAGGAAGAACACCAGUGGCGAAGGCGGCUCACUGGCCCGGUACUGACGCUGAGGCGCGAAAGCGUGGGGAGCAAACAGG
rnacentral:rRNA from 1 species